AAAUGCGAUAAGUAAUGUGAAUUGCAGAAUUCAGUGAAUCAUCGAAUCUUUGAACGCACAUGGCGCCCGCCAGUAUUCUGGCGGGCAUGCCUGUCUGAGCGUCAUUUCAACCCUCAGGACCCGUUCGCGGGACCUGGCGUUGGGGAUCAGCCUGCCCCUGGCGGCGGCUGGCCCUGAAAUCCAGUGGCGGUUCCCUCGCGAACUCCUCCGUGCAGUAAUUAAACCUCUCGCGGCAGGAUAGCGGUUGAACCACGCCGUUAAACCCCCCACUUCUCAAGGUUGACCUCAGAUCAGGUAGGAAUACCCGCUGAACUUAAGC
rnacentral:misc_RNA from 1 species